UUUUAAGAUAUCCUUAUUUGCCUUUUUUCUUAUUUAAUCUUUUACUACCUGGAUUGUCAAUUCUAAAUGAUAUCAUUUGAUUCCUUUCUGUUCCCUCUGCAACAAUGACCCUUUUCUGCUUUCUUCUUUCUGACUUCCUUCUCAGCUCAAAUUUUAAUUUGCAUUCUUUCUACUUUGUCAGAACGUAUGACAUUUACAAAUUAUUUUCCACCCUUGUUCCUGAUCCUUGUUUAAAUUUUAGGUCUACACUUAAAUAUACUACAUGCUCACUAUCAUUCAUUUGCCAAAGUUUCUCCAGUCACCUCUUGAUUGGAUAGAAUUCAUCCUCUGUUAGUUACCCAACAAGGGCUCAUGGGUACAGAAUUCUCUCACUCUUUGCAUAUAUGAUUUGUUUUUCUAUAGCCUUGAUAAUUAAAUGAUGACUUGGCUGCAUAUAAAGUCCUUGGUUCAUAAUUUAUUUCUUCCCCUUUGGUUACUUGUAAAUAAUGCUCCAUUUUUGCCUUGCUUUGCAGGUUGCUCUUGAAUAUCCUGAUGCCAAUAUAAUUUUCAAACUCUUGUAGAUAUUGUGCCCGGAGGCCUUGAGUAUUGUUUCUUUGUCUUUAAAGUCUAAUAAUUAUAUAAGCUAUGUCUCUGAGUUGAUCAUCUCAAUUUUCCCAGGCACAUCAUUGUCCCUUACAUAAAUUUAGGUUUUCUUUUAUUUCUAUAAAGUGUUCUUGAAUUCCAUUUAAAAAAUAUUAGUUCUACUCUAUUGUUCCCUCCAAUUUUCAGGGACACCAGUGUUCUUGAACAUGUGAGGAGUGGGAUAUAGCAGAAAAGUGGAGAACUGGCUUUAGAUAGGAGCAGAGAUAGUUCACUUACUAUAAUGGGCAAGAAAGCAGGGUGUGGACCUGGAUGCGGAUGGGUGGGGAUGUGGAGCUGGUGUCUAAGGAAGCUCUCUUCGCAUUGCUUUGGUUUUCCUGGUGGUAAGGAAGCAAGAUCUAAACUAACUCUCUAAUUCCCCCUCCCUGGGAAAAAGGAUGAGGAUGAGUACAUUUGCCAAAUUUAGAUUGGUAGUCUGAAUGUGAAUCAUUUACCAAAAUCUGUGUACAGUGUUCUAGAAGGAGCUCAGAGGACAAUCACUCGUUGGUCGUUCUACCCAGUAGAAGACCCAUAGCUGCUUCCUCCUGGGAUUUGUUCAUGUCCAGAAGGACUGAAAACAGCAUUGAUGGGGGAUAUGAACUGAGGGAGAGGCCAGGCACAUCUCUGCCAGGAAUCUGGAGGAUUGUCUGUGGGAGAUGGUGGAGACCUGCCCUGUGUUGCGUUAGGAGCAGCGAGAGAAAGACACAGGAACAUGGGUUUUGCAUGAGUAUAAGAAAGAACUUUAAAGGCCUGGAUCAGGCUGUUGUGUGAGUAGGGGAUCCUCCCUCCCAGGUAGUAUUCAUUAAGUGGGUGAAUAUCAUGAUGUCAGGGAUGGUGGGUAGGAGAUUCCUGGGUUAGCAGGGUGAUUGACAGAUGGUCUCCAUAGCAACUCUAAGUUGACCAUUACCUUCUCUCUCUGUCCAAACCGCCUCUGUCAACAACUCUUGUCCACUCUACCUUCAGCACAUAUUCAAGACUCAGCCAUUUCUGACUUCCUCCAUCUGAAUUGCCCUCGACCAACACACAGUUUUCUCUCCCCUCAAUUAUUUCAAUAGCCUUCUAGAUGACUUCUCUGCUUUCUCCUUGGCCCUUAUUCCCCUACCUCACCUUAUUCUGGAAAUAAAAGAUUGAUUCUGUUAAAUUAUUAGUCUGAUAAUGUCACUCCUCUGUGUCAAACUCCAUGUGGAUUCCCACGGAUUCUACAAAGUCCUAACAACCGCCUACAAGGUCACACGCGAUCUGCCCCUCCCCUGCCAAGCUCUGACUUCAUAUUGCACUGCACUCCUCUUUGCCCUGCGCUCCCUGAUCACACGGGCCUCAGGGCUGUGCCCCAGACCUGCCAGUCCUGCUCCAUCAGCCCUCAAAGGGCCUCAGCAAUUUCUUCUUCCUGGAAUGCUUCUGCCUCAGAUAUGUAGAGAGCCCACUUUCUUCUACUUUAUUCUCAGAUCUCAUUAUGUAUUCAAAGAGGCUCUGCUUGCCCACUCUUCAUAAAAAAGCACUCCCAUUCUUUUACCUUCUUUUCUUUUUCACAAUGGUACUUGUUGCCUACAUAUUAUGUAUUUAAUUUUUGUUUAUGUUCUGACUGCCUUGUCUGACAGUGGCUUUGUCUGAUUUUUCGUUGCUGAAUUCUCAGUGUCUAGAAGGGCCUAGCACAGAAGGAAUGCUCAAGAAAUAUUUGUUACAUAAAUGAAUACAUGAAUAUGUGUGAUUGUGUCUUCACAGGGAAACAAGACAAUGUGACAAUCAGUCAGGGCUUGUCUCCUUCCUCCUGAAGGGAGCAGAAGGACCAAAGGUUUUGUAUGUUGUUAGGGCUUUAAACUUAUUGUGUUCCAGUUCCAGGUAAGAUGCAGUAAACACACGGCAGCCUCCCUCCCCACUGACAAUAAAACCUGGACACAGUGCGUGGGGCAGCUCUUGGAAGUCUCUGAACAGUAAGUAGCAGCAAGUGGAUGGGGAGUGAGGGAACCAGGAGUCCAAGUGCCACCAAACUGGUGGUGAAUCGAGCAUAUAGUUUCCUUGGGUCUCCCCUGAGUGGAACUCAGCACAGCCUGAAGCCUGGAAGUGAGCACCUGGUGUAGACAGAGGAAGAUGCAGGAGAAAUCCUCAGGGCCUGGUUGGAGCAGUGAAACAGGGGACUCCUCCAAUUCAGAGCAUGGGGAGUAUCCCCUGAUUUUUCCUCUUGCUUUUCUCCACUUGUGUCUCAGCCAUCAGGGAGUUGCAGAAAAUGUGGCUGUGCAUGUGCAAAGGCGGGGGCUGGGCCUCUGAGAAGGGAAGCCUGUAUUCUGGCCUGAGGUGUUCUUUCUUUCCGCUUCCGGGGCCAUAACCCACCAUUGGGCACCUCAGGGCUCCUGGUACCUGUCGUUUGUACCUAUCACUUUUUAAUCUGAAUUGGUGGGUGUGGGGCUGCACAAGCUCAUGAGGACAGAGCAGCUGUCACAUCUGGGACAAUUCAAGAAGCCUGGCUCCAGAGCCCCCCUAUAAAUAUCCUGUGGCUGGACCCUGCCCAACUUUACACCGAGGCCCUGGCCUCCUCAAAUGAGGAGCUGAGCCCAGCCCCUUGACAAAGUGCAGAGGAGGGAGACAGAGAACCCUUGACCUUGUAAAAGCUGUCAUGGUCUGUGGGUCAGCCGUGACUCCCUGGGAAAGGGGAGUGGAAUAAAGCCGGAGCUCAGGGGGAGGGGAGCAAAGGAGGAGCCCCAAGAUCUGGCCUUCCAGAAUGUUCCAAGGGCACUGGAUGGGCUAAGCCAUGGCACCUGUGAGGAAAGACAGGAGUCCAGGAGGUGGGGCCCCUGCACUUGACUGUUCUGAGGCUCCAUGAAGAGGAAGGUUCUUGGCACUGCAGAAAGGGCUUUAUGAUUGGGAAGGGAGAAGUGGUGUUUCCUGACACAGCUCCUGCUAAGUACUUCAUAUGUGCUAUGCCAAUUAAUCCCCACUAAGCCCAUGACGUGGGGUAGGACGCCCAUUUUCUGGAUGAGCAAGCCGAGGCACAGAGAAAUUAAACAAACCCCUGUGUUGAAGGUCACAGUCCUUGUAAGUGACAGGGCUGAGUAAGCCUUCAAUAAACACGUUUGCCUGCAUUGGAACUGAUAUGAAACCCAGAAAAUUCCUUAAUUCCUGAAGUCCUGAAUCCUAACACAUGAGCCAUGAACUGUGGCAGGCAGAGAAGCCAGCAGCAGUGUGAGGGAGAUGUCACAAUCAAAACAACUGACGUUUAGUGACUUGCUGAAUGCAACAUGCUCUGUCCCCUGUCAUGGGAACUGGGAGGACAUAGGCCCAUGCCCCUGAGGUCUUCCCAGGGCUCCCUGAGGAACUGUCUCUGACCGACAAAGGCAUGUGUGUUCUUCACACAUCUCACCUGGUCCCUUUGUCUCUGAGGAGCAUACUGCCAGGCAAGGGUGGAUUGGCCAGAGGCCCGCCCUGUCCGAGGUGGCUCUCACAGCUGGGGGGAUUCAUGGCCCUUCGAGACUCCCCGACCUGCGUGUCUUCUCACUUAUCAGAGAGAGCGACUCAGGCCUUCAGAGGGGAAGAGGUUUGCUUGAGUCUGAGGAGGAAUUAGUUAAGACGGACUGCUGUUUCUGAGGAAGAGGCACUGAGGAACACACUGCAGCUUUGCAGUUGGGGGCUGGUGGGGGAGCCACAGAGUGGGCCAAGGGCGCUGGGCCGGGAGAGCAGGAGGCUCCUUCAGCACCCAAAUUGGGGGGCUGCCCAUCUCUUCGUGAGCGAGGGGUGUGGGGCUUUGUUUUGUGGCCUCAGUUGUUUAAUUUGUAAAAUGGCAAUGGAGAAAAAUGUAGCUCAGGGGGCUGUGUAUUUAUAAACUGAGAAGUACUGGGUAAUUAAACACAUAGCACAUAGAACUCGAGCAAUGGAAGUGUGAAUGGUCUCCAUUAUAGUAAUUAUAGGUACCAUUGUGAUCAGCACAUGUAUUAUUCAUGAUAAUAUUGCAUAGACUGGGUCCUAGGAGCAUUGGGCUGGCAUAGUCAGUUUGGUGGAGGCCAUCCAGUCUGGUCACCCCUAUCUGAUAUUAGAAUUCUCUGGUCAAUAUUUCUGACAAGGAAUACUGAUGCUAUCCUGAGUAGCAAUGGGCAUGUUGAACUUGCCCAUUCAUCACUUGCCCUGGAGAAGUCAUCCAGGGACUGGAAGAGGGGGUCCCUCUGCCCACCCACCUCCAGGCAGCCCCAGCCGACCAGAUCCAUCUUGUCCUGGAUCCCUGAGCACAGGCAGAUUUGGCAUCCAGGAUGGGCAGUGGUCACCAUCUGAAUAGGAAAAUGGGCUCUGGGUGAAGCUUGGACUGGAGAACUUCCCGCAGUGCCUGCUGUCCUUUCAGCACCGAGGGGAGGAAAGAAAGGCAGGCGGGCACAGGGCCAUGGUCCCAGUAUCUGUUAGAUGGCCCCAAAGAGCUCCUAAUAUCACUCCAGAGAUGCACGUCACAGCGUGGAUCCUGAUUCCCUGGGACUCACAUUCCCUGCCCCUCCCCAAAUGAGGGCAGCACUGUCCACAUUCAUCUGCUACCUGGGAGGCGUCCUUUCACACAGUUGUUCUUAGCACACUCACCAAGCAGCCACACCAGGGAACAACACUGCCCCACCUGCCCCCGCCUUGCCCAAGUCCUGGACGUAUGGAGAGCCCCUCCCUUCCUGCUAACAGAACCCCCGCCACAAAAUGUAAUGUCACCAGGAAGGUGAUCCCACCCUUCACGUGGCUAUCACUCUGCUCUAGGGCCAGUGAAGCCAUAGGAGACGGUCAGUGCUCGAGGGGGAGGUGGGAAGCCCCCAGGCAGCACGGACCAGGCCUUCCUCCCUUACUUCUCAUCUUUCUGCUCUCCCAAACCCAGUCCACCUGCUGGAGUGGAAAGUUAAACAGACUCUUGUCUUAACUUCCUCACCCCAAGCACAACUUCAAGCACUAAGGAAGAAGACAGAAAAACUCUCUUAAGGAAUCUGUUCACCCAGCCUGAUGCAGGCUCUGUUGGGGCCUGUGUGCUGGCCCAGCCCCUCAGCAGAGGGUGAAGCAGAUGUUCUGGGAUCAGCUUCAAGGCAGGCCUCGGGCGCACUGGGACACUUGGCUGGGGAGCAGGGACCUGCCCACGUGUGAAGAUAUGCGUGGAGGGGCGCAGCUGGCUGUGGGGUAGGGAAGGGAAGAAGUGGAGCAAGGGUGAUGGGAGGAGGCCCAUUUCUCCUCAUGCCAGGAUUCCAGCUCACAUCCCAGCCCCGCAUCUGAGCAAUCCUGAGAACGCCACCUGAGAGAGGAGGAGCCGGGGCUGCUCUCUGCCCUUCUCAUGCUCCCUUGUCGCUCAAGUUGGGGAUGGGACACUCUGGGGUGAUGGAGGGCCCCAGGUCCUAUGAGCAGGUCCUUUUCCAGGAAACCAGAGCUCAGAGGGUGCAGGUGGAAGGAGCUGGGAAGGGUCGGUGGUGGCUCCCCAGGAUUGGAAGAAGUGGCUUUCCCACAUUUUUCUCGGUGUGGGUGGUGAGUCUUCUGCUGGGUUCCUGCUGGACUGUCAAUCACGGGCUUUGAUUCCUGUGAGAGAAAAAGACUAUCAGGGGACACCUGGAGGACACCUGGCAGGAAGAGACCACGGACGCAGUCUCAGUGACACGCACAGCCAUCUCCCUGUCCCCAACUAGGCCAUCACACAGACUGGCGCUGUCGCACAGAAACACGGGGGGAAUAAGGCAUUGCUAUUUUGGUCAUCGUUAUGGAGAGGAAACUGCAGCCCAGAGAGGUUUGGGCAUUUUGUCCAGGUCACCCAGAGCUGAGACGGAAGAACUUCUUACAAAUGAGAUCUUCUGACCCAGGUCUGGACUUCCGUCCACCGCAGCCCUUCACCAGUCACGGCCACAGGAGGGGAGGUAGGAAACGGCACCGAGAAAGCAGCCCGUGAGGAAAGUGCCCGCACACCCUGAGGAGAGACAGGCCUGGGAGAGGCACACGGCCCGCUGGGCAUCCCAGAGCGGGCUGGGGGUGGCUCCGCCGGCAGCACUGGGCCUCACAGUCCCCACUCUUGCAUGGCACUCAGGCCAUUGUCCUCCGUGGGAUGGGGGGUGGACUCCUUCCAGGAGGAGAGGGGAGACACACGAGGGUGAGGCCCAGGAAGGGUGAGGGGGCUCGAGAGGGGCUUCAGGAGGCUUCUGCCACUGCCCACUCCCUGCCUGGGGGACACCUAAGGGGGGCUCCCUAGGUCUCCUUAGGAGCCUAAGCGGAGAGGCUCCUGACCAGCCCCCCAUCCUGGGGGAGCCACUGGGGAUACGGGGAGGGUACCCCUGUUCCAAUAGCCAUUGGUCUGCUGAAUCCUGGCCCAUGAGGGCAGCUGGUGCCAGCGUGUGGGGGUGGCUGGGGGUGUGGCAGGGGUUCCACUGGAGGCUGCUGUGGAGAAGGCAGCCUUGAGUGAUUCAAGCAGGUAGGAGGCAAUAACAACAAAUUUUGGCCAUACUACUUGCCAUAGGAAAUGCCAGCUGAUGUUGUCUGAAUAGAGUCAGGAGAAGAGAGAAAGGACAGAUGGAAUGUUCUCGUACCUUCUUUGUUGUUUUGGUUGAUCCACUGUGCUGAGCGCUUUACUGUCGUUUCUCAUUUCAUCCUCACAGCCACUCUGAGGAGGGCGCUGUUGUCCCAUUUCACAGAAGAGAUCCCUGGGCAGGUGGGGCGGGGACAGGAUGAUUAGGGAUGACACUCUGAUAAGGAGAAUCUCAGGCCACAAGAGUGGGCCCCUUCCAGACCGUCCCUCGGCCCAGCUUCCCACUUCCAGCCAAGGCCUCAUGGCUUCCCGAGAGCCCAAGGGAAUAUCACCCAGGGGUAGGGACACCGGGGGCUCCAGAGGCUAGACUGACCAGGAGGACGAGCGCGUGGAGCGUGGUGGCCCCUCAGCAGGGAGGAGCUCAGAGGCGCGCACCUGGGCUUGCUGUAUGGCAGUCUGGGCUGCGCAUGCCCUCUGCUGCGGAGCGUUCUGCCCAGCCCUACCCACCAUUCGUAGCUCUGGGGGUCUUUCACGCAGAAGCACAGGCUUUGAGGAUCUGCCAGGCCAGAGAGGCCUCAUCCUGCCCCACUCCACUAGUGGCACUUCUAGAAGAUGCUCCCGGCUACAGCUCAGGCCUCCCCUCUAGGAAGACAUUGUAUUUAAUUUCUUGGUCUUUAACCUGGUCGGGGGUUAGGUAUUCUGCUCCUCCUACUAUGUGAAUCCCCACUCCUCACUCACUCCACCCACACACAUCCCCACACCGCCCCGCCGCACCCCCCCCGCCGCCACGAGGGCUCAGAGCAGCAUUGAAUUGAUAAGGCCCGUGUGCUACAGAACAAGGGUCACAUCUGCUAGCGUUGGCUAUACUCGGCUACCACAGGCCACGCAUGGGGCGUGAUCCUGCAUUUCCCAAACACCUGUGCCCAGAACAGCAUGCCCAGCUCGGUAAGCCAUGGCUCAGAACAUGCAUAAGCGUAGGUCCCUGCUGCCCGUCUUCCUCCAGGUCCUUGUCAGGCCCAAGAUGGCAUCCCCUUGCCCCUGAUCGGUGCUGAGCUGGGGGUGGAAGGCAGGGGCUAGGGAGCCCCUCUACCCUAUCUGAUCCCAGACCCGCCUCCUCAGUGCCCCAUGCCUGGCCUGGCUAUAUUUAGCAAGCUCAAUUCAGUAACUAGAGCCGCUGGGCCACCCCAGCCCCCUCCCCUUCUGAGGACCCUGCAGGGGCCGGUUUCUCACAUGUUUUAAUCAAGUCUUCCACUUCUCCAGGCAACAGACACAAAAGGCCUGGACCAGGUGGUGGAGUUGCUCUGGCUCCUACACAGAGAUUCUAUUUUCUGUUCUGCCUUCUUUCAGGCCGGGCUUUGUUGUGGUAUGUUGCUGGAAAAAAGACACACUGUUCAAGCAAAGGGCAGACCCUGAGCAACUCAGAUCUCUAUCCGAGCGAGCUGCCCGUCCUUCCUGGCGUCUGACUGCUGCUCCCCACGGGGGCCACUUCAGGGCGAAGCAUAGAGGAAGCUUAAUAAUCUGGGAAAAAUGGAAGAUCUGCCUGCUGCCUGGAAGGGAGUGGGGAAGGGAGGCAGCCGUGGGAGAGCAGAAGGGGGUGAUGGUGAUGGGCAUUCUCCUGGAACUCAUUCAUGAGCUUGCAUUCUAGAAUGAAUUAUUCAUCCGAGGACAUCCAGGGGACCAUGUUGUUUGCUUUCUGCUUGUCUGCAGGAAGGGGAUGGUGGCCCUAAGCGUUGUGCGUUCCCGUGCUCGGAAGAGUGGCUUGACCCCCCCCUGGUGAAUGUGUGGCACCUCCCGGGCCUUGCCUCUGGGCUCACCGCCCCGCACCUCCGAACUCUGCGUGGGGAAGGGUCCCUUCCCUCCCCAGCCUCCUUCCACAAGCUGGCGCAGGGGCCAGCGAGGAGCCUCUGGAAAGCUCUCCUUCAUCAUUUAUUAACAGUCCCUGCCCUCGUCCCUGAAAUAAUCAGGGUCCGGAUAGUUUCACAUCAUGCAGUUAAUUGCCAUCUGCACUGCUUAACAAGUCAGGGCACUGGUGGUGAUCUGGAGGCCCAUGGAGGAUGGUGGAUGGGAAGUGAGUCAAGGUGUUGGCUGCCACAGCCUGG
ensembl:lncRNA